CUUGUUUUAUUAUUCUCAUGAUGUUGGGAACAGUCAUGAAGACAAACCUUCCUGUCAGAUGGAUUUUUGUCUUUUUUACAUUAUCCCAGAAACUACCAGAACAGUACAAAACUGAGAGUGGAGAUGAGGAAAUAGAGCUGAAGAUGGCUCCUGACCCAGGUUGUCCCAGGUUUGAGGGACACCAGCAGCUGAGGUCUUAGCCAUGACACAGUGUCACCUCACCAAGGGGAACCAGGUAUCAUUUCCUAUGAGCUGGGAAAUGAUGUGAAUGAAGAUUUAAAAACUUGUAACUUCUGAAUGAAGAAGGAGGAGGAGGAGAAGGAAGAAAAGAAGAAGAAGAAAAAGAAGAAGGAGGAGGAGGAGGAAGAGGAGGAGGAGGAAGAGGAGGAGGAGGAAGAAGAGGAGGGGAGGAGGAGGAGGAAAAGGAGGAAGAAAAUUCUACUACAACCAAGAGAGAUGGGAGAGGACUCAAGAAUGGCCAAUGUUGUCAAGUACUGCAAUUAAGAAACUUUAGUAAAUAAGACAUAGGAUAAAUAUAUAUCUGAAUUAGAGUACUCUAACCAGUACUGAAUGUCUCAUAAAAUGUUUCAGGCUGUGAUCUGUCCCACUGAAUUAAAAGCCAUUUAUAAGCAAACUUGUAUUUCACACUGAAAUCCUGAAUUUCAGCGCUGAGCGAGAAAGCCUUAAACAGGCUCAUGCCAGCAGUGCUCCUGUCAGAGGGGGCCCAGGGGCAGCAUCACAAGGAUUGUGUUUCUACCUGUUGGGAAAACCAUUUUUGGCUCAAGUUCUAUUCUGCAGAUUGUUUUUCUCAUUAGAGGGAGCAUGUCCAUUAGCAGGAGUGCACAACAUGCAGAUCAAAAGAGAGACAGGCCAAGUACCAAACAAA